UACGGAGGGUGCAAGCGUUAAUCGGAAUUACUGGGCGUAAAGCGUGCGCAGGCGGUUUUGUAAGUCUGUCGUGAAAGCCCCGGGCUCAACCUGGGAAUUGCGAUGGAGACUGCAAGGCUUGAAUCUGGCAGAGGGGGGUAGAAUUCCACGUGUAGCAGUGAAAUGCGUAGAGAUGUGGAGGAACACCGAUGGCGAAGGCGGCCCCCUGGGUCAAGAUUGACGCUCAUGCACGAAAGCGUGGGGAGCAAACAGG
rnacentral:rRNA from 1 species